GUGAAUCAUCGAAUUUUUGAACGCAAAUUGCACUUUCUGGUAUUCCGUAAAGUAUGCCUGUUUGAGGGUCAGUUAAAUAAAAAUCGGUGGUGUUGCUUCCUUUCUUGGUGACGCGUCGGAAUUGAGUUGUCUUACCUUCUGUUAAUUGACUUAAAAUUUUGCAUGAGUGUCGAACGUAUUUAAAUUGCUUACGUACGUUUGAGAUAUCGAAUACUUUUUAAUGUUUGAUCAUCCUCAUGAUUCGCGCCUAUAUUUUUUCAUUAAAUGACCUCAAAUCAG
rnacentral:misc_RNA from 1 species